UGGAGCUUGGUGUAGUGGUAGCACUUGGGCCUCUGACUCCCACUGUGUAGGUUCGAUUCCUAUAGCUCCUGCCAA
rnacentral:tRNA from 2 species